rnacentral:rRNA from 1 species
UACGGAGGGUGCAAGCGUUAUCCGGAUUUACUGGGUUUAAAGGGUGCGUAGGUGGGUCUGUAAGUCAGUGGUGAAUCUUCAAGCUUAACUUGGAAACUGCCAUUGAUACUAUAGGUCUUGAAUUGUCUGGAGGUAAGCGGAAUAUGUCAUGUAGCGGUGAAUGCUUAGAUAUGACAUAGAACACCAAUUGCGAAGGCAGCUUACUACACGAUCAUUGACACUGAGCACGAAGCGUGGAGCAACAG